UACGUAGGGCGCAAGCGUUGUCCGGAAUUAUUGGGCGUAAAGAGCUCGUAGGCGGUUUGUCGCGUCUGCUGUGAAAACCUAAGGCUCAACCUUGGGCUUGCAGUGGGUACGGGCAGACUAGAGUGCGGUAGGGGUGACUGGAAUUCCUGGUGUAGCGGUGGAAUGCGCAGAUAUCGGGAAGAACACCCGUGGCGAAGGCGGCUCUCUGGGACGGUACUGGACGCGUG
rnacentral:rRNA from 1 species